ACAUAAUUUAGAAAAUCAAAUAGUUUUACAAGGCAAAUGAUGAAAUACAGUAGUCCCUUGCUCUUUCCCUCACCACUCCCAGGUUUUUCUCUGCAGGUGCAACCAUUUUCAGCUCUCUUAGCUAGUCCUUUUGACAUUUGCCUCUUUUAAAAGAACUUGCUUGGUUUUCAGUUUUAUGUAUUGUGAUUGGCAGAGUAACGGCCCCCAAAUAUGUCUACAUCCUAGUCUCCAGAAAUCAUGAAUAUGUUGUGAGUGGCAAGGGACAGGUAAGGUAAUGAAUGGAAUUACAGGUGCUAAUCAGCUGGCCUUAAGAAAAGGAGGUAAAUCUGGGUGGGCCUAAUGUAAUCAGUUUCCUUUAAAUGUGGAAGAGGGUCCCGAAGGUUCUGUGUUAGAGUGGUGUGGUGUGAGAAAGAUAAAUGGCUGGUGCUGGCUUUGAGGCUGGAGGAUUGAGGCCAAGUCUAGAAACUGGGAAAUGCAAGGAAACUGAUUUUUCCCUAGAAUCUCCAGGGAAAAAGCACUGACCAGCUGCACACCUUGGUUUUAGCACAGUGAAACCCAUUUUGGACUUGUGAGCUCCAGAACUGGUCUGCUGGAAUCUGCCUGUGGGGUAGCUACACAGCCUCUACCAAGUAUCCUCCCCAUAGGGGAACUGCCUCUCCCCUUGUGGCCCUCGGACUUCACUGUCUGCUCCUGAGGAUUCGCCCUUCCCACCAGAGCACCAUCAGAUCACGACCCGAGACAAAAUCAAGAAUCAGCCACUUAACUGACUGAACCACCCAGGUGCCCCAGAUAAUGGUUAGUUUUUAUGAAUGGUAAGAAUGUCAGUAAUUUUUAUUUACUUUUAUUUUGCUGAUUUGCAUUUUCCUAUUUUUGUAUAUAGACAUGGUUUUCUAUGUUCUUAUUUUUUAAAUACAGAACUUGUAAAAUACCUAUACUAAAGAAAAAGAGCCAAUGGACCAUUAACUCCUAUUUAGAAGAGAUCAUUUCUUUCUACUCAUGCCUUAAGCAUUAAAUGACUCUGAAAGAGGGAUUCCUUGUGAGCCUCUCUAGUUAAAAGUCUUUAUGGGUCAAGAAACUCUGAGAAGAGAGAUGACAAAUGGAGGUUUAAGAAACUUGAAAGCUGUCAAUAUGUAACAUUUGGUAAAUACAGAGGAAUGAUGGAAUGGUGGUCUAAGCACCACUGUUGGUGCUUAUUUUUUCAUAGUGAAACUUGCAAUUGAGAAGGUGUCUAUCAAGAGUCCAUUUAUAAAAAUAAUAGAGUGAAAACUUGGUAAAGGAGUUUCAUGUGUUUGAAUGUCAGUCAGUCUUUAAUUGCGUUCUACUUUAUUUUGUAGAGAAGAUAGAACUGAAUGUGUUCAACUGAGAGAAACACACUUGAGUGCCAGUAGGCAUAAUAGUAAAGUAAUUAUAAGAAAAGGAAGGGGAGAAGGAGGGGGAAACAGAACAGGCACCUGUCUAGGAUAUAUGUGAAUGCAAGGUCUUUCCUGUAGAGUGAGGGUCCUCAGUUCUUAUGUCCUUCAUUAGCAUUCCAGCCCCAAAUUCUAUUUAUUGGGCUUACAAAAGACCCUUCUUAAAGCACACAUAUAUUAAUUACUUGGGCAGGAUAAAAGAAAAAAUGAUGUCGUGCAAAUGUGUUUGUUAAACAAUGAGAAACUGAGCUAGGCUAUUCAGAGAAGAAAAGCCUUCAUUGAAAUACUGAAAUUUUUUGUUUUAACGUCUACAUGAUUGUAAAAGUUGGGGCUACCAAGAUAGUUUUGAAUGGGUUGUCAGGGAAUAGAAAAGAGCCUUGAAAGGAAGAGGAAGAGAAAGGUUAGGGAGCUCUAAAUGGAGAAAUGAUGGUGCUAUAGUCAAAAUUGGAUGGAAUUGUUUUCUAAGCAGCUUUAUUGAGAUAAACUUCUCUUACCAUUAAGUGAACCAAAUGAGAGAAUAGUUCUCAAGGGUUUUUAAUAUAUUUGGAGAAUUUUACAGCAUAACCUUAGCCUAAUUAAGAAGAAAAAAGACGUUUCCAUAACUAAAUGCAUUUAACUCUAUAUUUGUGAAGGUUUUAAGUAGUUGAGGUAUGCUCCUUUAGGACUUCAUAAAAAUGAGGCUAUGGUUCUAUACUUUGUCCUGUGAGGUGUGUGAAAUUAGGUGAAAAGCAAUUCAGAUGCUAGUUGGCUCUGUUAGUAAGUUCACAUGAUGACAGAUGAUGACAAACCAUCACACAUAAUUCUCCAAGAAAUAUGACAGUGGAGCUGAAUGUGAAGUAUAUAAAAUAAAUAACCCACAAAUAAUCAUAUCAAUGAGAGACCUACAUGAAGUCUGAUGAUCUACAGCUUAGAGCCAUGAGCCAAGGAAACAUUUAUUACCCCCUUGAAUCUGUUCAUUUAAUAAGGCCAUCUAGAGUCAUAGCACUUGACCUUAAAAGUGCUUAAGUAGCAAGCUCCAUAUUUUAUUUGUUCCUUUAUUUUUCUGUACAAAUAUACCCCAUAUGUGUCUGCACUCUCCGUAUUCCCAAGGGGAAUGUUAAAUCAUUAUAGGUCAAUGGCAGCAUUUGUACUUCAAACAAGUCCACAGAUGGCAGAGUCUUAGUCUAAUUCCCUUGCACUGCCAGUGCCGCAAGUAAAGACCAAACAAGGUUUUCCACUAUAUUCUUUCUGAUUUAAUAUUUGAUGAGUCUCAGAGCACUGUGCUAACAACUUCCUAUGGUCUCUUUAAGGAAGCCAGUAUUGUAGAUUAUACUUGUUUCUCAUGUUACUAUGCACACAGCUGGCAGCCACAAGAAGGCACAGCUUAGUGAAUAUUCCUUCCUUUAUUUAAUUCCUUCUGCAGGUGUCAUUUCUGUGUUUUGGCCAUCUGGUGUUCUGCAGAAUAGAAUAGAAUCUCAGUUGUGAAGACUUAUUCAGAUAUAUAACCUGAAUAAAAAUCUUCUCAAAAGCAUUAAAAAUGGCCAACAUAACAAAGACAAUAUUUUAGCUUUGCAUAUUGGCAAAGAUCUGGAGCAAAAGUAGUAUUUUUGAGCAUACUUUGGCUGCAAAAGAUGCAUGUGAAAUAAUGUUUAUGGUGGCCUGUCUUCCUUAUUGUGUCAUCUCUAUGAAAAUUGUCCAUUCCAAAGAAGCAUCAGAUCUGAGAGUCAAAGAUAAUGAUAUUCUUCUCUAUUCCUCUGAAGAAGGAUUUUGGGUGGGAACAAGAGAUAAAAAUGCUUUUAAACCUUUUGAUACAAUAAGGUAUAAUAGGAUAUUGGUUGAAGUAAGUGAACAGUUUAUUUUUUUUCCUUUUUUAAAUUAAAACAAAUUCAGUGUGAGAUUGGUUUGUAUGGAAGCAUGGUAAAGGGCAUAACAAAGAACCCAGCCGGAUGAUCAAAAUAUGUGAGAAAUAAUUUGUUUGUUGUUUUAAGCCACUUAGAUUUAACACUUUGUUAUGCAGCAAAAACUGACACUAGACAAUUAUUUCUUGAUAAUCUUCAAUUUCCUCAGCUAUAAUGAUCUUACACCCUAUUGUUAUUUGAUUUGUUAUUAGAUUUGUAUCUAUCCAGAAACAAUGUGACAUUAUUUGGAGGUAUUGUUUACAGAAAUAAAUAAGGAAAGGAUUGAAGUGCAAUUCUUUGGAUUAGGGUGGGUCCUACAUCCAAUGAGAGUUUCUUCUAUGAUACCAGCGUGGGGUGGGGAGAAGACACACUGAGACGUAGACAAAAAAGAGAAUGUGAAAUUGGAGGAAGACACUGGAAUGAUGCACUGACAAGCCAAGGAAUGCCAGCCAGUCACCAAAAGCAAAUAGAAAAGUGUGGAGCUGAAUCUUCCUCAGGGCCUUUGAAAGGAACCAUUCUCGCCAAUACUUGAAUUUCUGACUUGUGGCUCCAGAACUGAGAGAGAAUACAUACCUCUUGUUAUAAGUCACCAAGUUUGUGGUAAUUUGUUACAGUAGUCCUACACCACUGAAUUUAUACAAGCAUUAAACAGCAUAUGACAGGAUAGUUCCUGGCAUGUAAAAAUUCUCAGUAAAUUUUAUUACUAUUAUUAUAAUGGGCACCCUUUUAUGAACUCUUUUAAAAACUCCUAAUCCUCUUUGUAAGUUAUUUACAUAAUAUUUAAUAAAUAUUUUUAAAAAUAAAUAAAUGACUUACAAACAUCUUUGGGGAACAGCUGAAUGCUUCAAAGAUUUCUGGAACAGGAAGGCAUGAUGGUCUUCUAGGAACACCCUAUGGUCUAUGGCAGCUCUAUCUAGUAGCAGCUCAUUUGGCACUGAGACCCUCUCCCAGAAGUCAUUUCUGCUGCAGGGUGGGUCUGCGGCUGUUCUACACUUCCACAUCCCUAAUCCCCACCAAGAAAAGUAGGGGAGGAGGCAGCAAGGAAGAGUAUUAAAGAGAAAUGGAGAAUGGAGAAGCAUAUCAAGAAAAGGGUUACUUUUUAAAACAGUUCAUCAUCUCAUUAGGUUUUGGCCUUGAGGACAGUGUUAUUCAGGAGUGUGUACAUAAAAUAUUUCCAAGAUGGAUUGACUACCUAUCUUCCCAGAAACAACCUGAUUACUACCUUUUUGAGCAUAUUUAGAGAUGAGAUGAGCUGGGUUCUCAUAUGCAGUAAGAGCCAGAGUAUCAAAGGCAGGACUGUCUUUCUUUAGGAUAGAGGCUGAUGAUUCCACAGUUCAAUCAUGUUAGCUCAUAGAAAUUCAUAGGAGUUAUUUUGCCACAAGUCAAAAGCACCAGGUAAUAUAUAGGUAAUAUAUCAGAAGGUGUUGUGUGUGCAUUUUAUCCCAUUUUUUUCUUUGGCUUUGCAGCCAAUUGGGGAGCAGUAUUUUGUGUCCAUCACCUUUCUUUUCUAAGCUAUUAGCAACAGUGAGAAAAUGGGGGCUACAUUUGGAUUAGCAUUUAUAUAAGAUUUUGUAUUUACUAAGCACUUUAGUAAAGUUUAUAUUCUCCUUCUCUUAGCUUGGUGUGUUAGCUUGUAUUACAGUAUUUGUAUUUUGCAGCUGGGACACUAAAACAGAGGAAGGUUAAAUAAACAGCCUAAGGUCACACUGAAAAUUAAUGGCAGAGCUGAGAUAAAUUCUAUUUUAGGUGCGGUUACUGAACACACUAUCAACAAAUUAACUAGACGAAACCUGUCACCACUGAAAGGAAGGUGAGCUUAUCAAAUUCCUGAAAAAUUGAGAAGAUUAUUUUUAAACAAGCAGUCCAUGAGGCUAAGGUUAAAAAAACCAUAGCCAUGUUUUUCAACAGAUCAAGUACAGUCCGAGCAAGCAGUUAGAGUAUUAGAUCUUCCUUCUGAGCUUUAGACUCAGAUUCCUGCUGCCUACUAGACAUUACCAGUGGGGUAUCUGAUAGAAUUCCUGAAAUGAACUUAACUAAAAGUGUAACUUUUCCCUUAAACUUGACCUCUCCCCUACAUUCUCUAUACACAUAAAAUGCUACUAAAUACUACUAAAAUACAUCCUAAACUAGAAGCCUGGAGUCAUCCUUCUACUUCAUUGUCUCUCAGUCCUAAAAUCUGCUUGGUGAUCAGGAGCUGACAAUUGUACCU